CGCCGAUCUUGGCGUCAAAAAGUCAACGAUUCGCCAAGCGGAACCGUAGAGUAAAGAUUAACCUCGCCAUCUAAAAAGGCCUGUUUUAGAUUUUUCUGUGCCGAAGGAUAUGAAGAACAUUAGAAUAUUCUUUAACAGCUUCCUAGGUUUAGUAUUAUCUGUUACUAUGUCUAGAAAAAAUUAUGGAAUG